AGACCAUAAGGCUUUGCCUUGCGUUGAUUCUUCUGGAAAUUUUUCUGCAAAAGAAAAUCCAGGAAUCUAAACAUGUUGGCGUCGUAGUUUGACCGAAGACACAGCACAAUGUGUUGCUAAGUCACAACUAAAGCGAUUUGCCUUGAAUCAUCUGGUGUUUCUUUGGAAAUACUGUAG
rnacentral:misc_RNA from 1 species